UACGUAGGGUGCGAGCGUUGUCCGGAAUUAUUGGGCGUAAAAGAGCUCGUAGGCGGUGUGUCACGUCGGCCGUGAAAACCUGCAGCUUAACUGUGGGCGUGCGGUCGAUACGGGCAUCACUGGAGUUCGGCAGGGGAGACUGGAAUUCCUGGUGUAGCGGUGAAAUGCGCAGAUAUCAGGAGGAACACCGGUGGCGAAGGCGGGGUCUCUGGGCCGAUACUGACGCUGAGGAGCGAAAAGCGUGGGGGAGCAAAACAGG
rnacentral:rRNA from 1 species